rnacentral:rRNA from 1 species
AUUGAACGCUGGCGGCAGGCCUAACACAUGCAAGUCGAGCGGAUGAAGGGAGCUUGCUCCUGGAUUCAGCGGCGGACGGGUGAGUAAUGCCUAGGAAUCUGCCUGGUAGUGGGGGAUAACGUCCGGAAACGGGAGCUAAUACCGCAUACGUCCUGAGGGAGAAAGUGGGGGAUCUUCGGACCUCACGCUAUUAGAUGAGCCUAGGUCGGAUUAGCUAGUUGGUGGGGUAAAGGCCUACCAAGGCGACGAUCCGUAACUGGUCUGAGAGGAUGAUCAGUCACACUGGAACUGAGACACGGUCCAGACUCCUACGGGAGGCAGCAGUGGGGAAUAUUGGACAAUGGGCGAAAGCCUGAUCCAGCCAUGCCGCGUGUGUGAAGAAGGUCUUCGGAUUGUAAAGCACUUUAAGUUGGGAGGAAGGGCAGUAAGUUAAUACCUUGCUGUUUUGACGUUACCAACAGAAUAAGCACCGGCUAACUUCGUG